AGUGAACGCUGGCGGUAGGCCUAACACAUGCAAGUCGAACGGCAGCACAGUAAGAGCUUGCUCUUACGGGUGGCGAGUGGCGGACGGGUGAGGAAUACAUCGUACUCUACUUUUUCGUGGAGAUAACGUAGGGAAACUUACACUAAUACCGCAUACGACCUACGGGUGAAAGCAGGGGAUCUUCGGCCCUUGCGCGAUUGAAUGAGCCGAUGUCGGAUUAGCUAGUUGGCGGGGUAAAGGCCCACCAAGUCGACGAUCCGUAGAUGGUCUGAGAGGAUGAUAGGCGACACUGGAAGUGAGACACGGUCCAGAGUCCUACGGGAGGCAGCAGUGGGGAAUGUGGGACAAUGGGCGCGAGCAUGGUCCAGCCGGCCCGCGUGGGUGAGGACGGCCUUCGGGUUGUAAAGCCCUUUUGUUGGGAAAGAAAAGCAGCAGGUUAAUACGCCGCUGUUGUGACGGUACCCAAAGAAUAAGCACCGGCUAACUUCGUG
rnacentral:rRNA from 1 species